rnacentral:rRNA from 1 species
AUACGGAGGAUGCGAGCGUUAUCCGGAUUUAUUGGGUUUAAAGGGUGCGCAGGCGGCCAUUUAAGUCAGCGGUUAAAUCGUGGGGCUCAACCCCAUUCUGCCGUUGAUACUGGGUGGCUUGAUUGCGGUCGAGGUUGGCGGAAUUCGUUGUGUAGCGGUGAAAUGCAUAGAUAUGACGAAGAACACCGAUUGCGUAGGCAGCUGACCAGACCGCAAAUGACGCUCAUGCACGAAAGUGCGGGGAUCGAACAGGAUUAGAUACCCUGGUAGUCCGCACAGUAAACGAUGAAUACUUGUUUUCGGCGAUAUAAUGUCGGAGGCAAGGCGAAAGCGAUAAGUAUUCCACCUGGGGAGUACGCCGGCAACGGUGAAACUCAAAUGAAUUGACGGGG